UGUAUUAUUGUGAGCAUUUUGUUUUCAGCGCCAGUUGCAUUUAGCUAGUAGUUUAAUUGUUUUGCUGAGCAUUCUCCUUCAAUUUGUUCUUAACCGUACUGUGUCUGUUUUAAGUGGGUUAGAUUCACAAUUUCUGCAUGCUAUAGUGGUAUAGUAAUAUUUUAUAGUUUAUAUUUUUGUCCCUUUUUGUUUUCAAGGAUUUUUCGCCCCAUACAGAGGAUCGUCUUCAAAAAGACGAACGUUCCCACUCCAGCGCCGUGUUGGUGUUAUUACACUCACAACUUCUGCUGUCUAAAACGGAAAACCAUUUCCACGGUGCCGACUAGACAGCAGAAAAAGACGAAUUGAAUGUAGUAGGACUGGGGGAGAAAAGAAUCUCCUUUCAAGGUUGUGACAGCAGCUGUGAAGGAUUCAGAAGCCAGUUAUUCAAAUCUUAUCCCAAACUGAGUGAAGGUGGUGGAUUUGAACAAAUGAAGAUUUCAGGAUCUACGAGAAGCCGGAUCUAGGCUGUUAUUCCUUGCCCUAAUGAGGGGUACUCAGCAAAAUAUUUAAGGGACCCAGAAACCCAAAUUGUCUGCUGCAAUUCAUUUUGUAGGUUCCUGGACUGUCCUUAUCCACUGGGCCCCUGAUGAAGUGCCUCUUUUGUGAGAGACUUUUCUUUCUCAGAAAUAGUCACAGUGACAGCUGUAGCAGCAGUGAAGAAGACAAAAGCAUUAUACUGCAAUUGGCAUUAAGCUGGGAUCUUCCAGGGGUGACAGAAGAAAAUCGGCAUUGGCUAAUGGACAAACUCCUCCUUCACGCUAUGAUCCUUGAAAGAAUCACCUGGCCCACACUGAAUGUGGAGGAAGAUGAUGAUGAGGAUGACUGUUCUCUUGAGACUAAAUGCCGUAUCACAGGUGUAAGAAAGAGCGGUGUCGCCUUUAAGAAAUGGCGACGCCAUUUGAAAGACUACGCAACCCAGGAACCUUAGCACUAAUGGGCAAGGCGGGGUUUCUGGGUAUAAAGGGAAGUGGAGCAGGACAGCAGGGGGUGAUUUUGGGGAGCACCGCCGGUUUGUCCUGCUGAAUAGUUCCCAGAAGGUUAAGAGUGCAUUACGUAGUAUUGUAAGGUAAAGUGAACGUUUGGUU